rnacentral:rRNA from 1 species
UACGGGGGGGGGCAAGCGUUGUUCGGAAUUACUGGGCGUAAAGGGCUCGUAGGUGGCCAACUAAGUCAGACGUGAAAUCCCUCAGCUUAACUGGGGGAACUGCGUCUGAUACUGGAUGGCUUGAGUUUGGGAGAGGGACGCGGAAUUCCAGGUGUAGCGGUGAAAUGCGUAGAUAUCUGGAGGAACACCGGUGGCGAAGGCGGCGUCCUGGACCAACACUGACACUGAUGAGCGAAAGCCAGGGGAGCAAACGGG